AUACUCUGGUUUCUCUUCAGAUCACAUAAAUCUUUCGCCUUUUACUAAAGAUUUCCGUGGAGAGGAACAAUUAUGAGUUUAUACUCAAUUUUUUGAGGCCUCAAGAAAAAAAUUAAAUU